UACGAAGGGGGCUAGCGUUGCUCGGAAUCACUGGGCGUAAAGCGCACGUAGGCGGCUUCUUAAGUCAGGGGUGAAAUCCUGGAGCUCAACUCCAGAACUGCCUUUGGUACUAAGGAGCUUGAGUCCGGGAGAGGUGAGUGGAACUGCGAGUGUAGAGGUGAAAUUCGUAGAUAUUCGCAAGAACACCAGUGGCGAAGGCGGCUCACUGGCCCGGUACUGACGCUGAGGUGCGAAAGCGUGGGGAGCAAACAGG
rnacentral:rRNA from 1 species